rnacentral:rRNA from 1 species
UACGUAGGGCGCGAGCGUUGUCCGGAAUUAUUGGGCGUAAAGAGCUCGUAGGCGGUCUGUCGCGUCGGCUGUGAAAACCCGGAGCUCAACUCCGGGCCUGCAGUCGAUACGGGCAGACUGGAGUUCGGCAGGGGAGACUGGAAUUCCUGGUGUAGCGGUGAAAUGCGCAGAUAUCAGGAGGAACACCGGUGGCGAAGGCGGGUCUCUGGGCCGAUACUGACGCUGAGGAGCGAAAGCGUGGGGAGCAAACAGG